rnacentral:rRNA from 1 species
UGAGUAGCUUGCUAUGAGCUGUUUUAGCGGCGGACGGGUGAGUAACGCGUGGGUAACCUGCCUCAUACAGGGGAAUAACAGUUGGAAACGGCUGCUAAAACCGCAUAAGCGCACGGUAUCGCAUGAUACAGUGUGAAAAACUCCGGUGGUAUGAGAUGGACCCGCGUCUGAUUAGCUAGUUGGCAGGGCAACGGCCUACCAAGGCGACGAUCAGUAGCCGACCUGAGAGGGUGACCGGCCACAUUGGGACUGAGACACGGCCCAAACUCC